GACGAACGCUGGCGGCGUGCCUAAUACAUGCAAGUAGAACGCUGAAGGAGGAGCUUGCUCUUCUGGAUGAGUUGCGAACGGGUGAGUAACGCGUAGGUAACCUGCCUGGUAGCGGGGGAUAACUAUUGGAAACGAUAGCUAAUACCGCAUAACAGUAGAUGUUGCAUGACAUUUACUUAAAAGGUGCAAUUGCAUCACUACCAGAUGGACCUGCGUUGUAUUAGCUAGUUGGUGGGGGAACGGCUCACCAAGGCGACGAUACAUAGCCGACCUGAGAGGGUGGUCGGCCACACUGGGACUGAGACACGGCCCAGACUCCUACGGGAGGCAGCAGUAGGGAAUCUUCGGCAAUGGACGGAAGUCUGACCGAGCAACGCCGCGUGAGUGAAGAAGGUUUUCGGAUCGUAAAGCUCUGUUGUAAGAGAAGAACGAGUGUGAGAGUGGAAAGUUCACACUGUGACGGUAUCUUACCAGAAAGGGACGGUUAACUACGUG
rnacentral:rRNA from 1 species